rnacentral:tRNA from 1 species
GCCUGGCUGGCUCAGUCAGUAGAGCACAAGACUCUUGAUCUUGGAAUCGUGAUUUCAAGCCCCAUGUUGUGUG